AUUGAACGCUGGCGGCAGGCCUAACACAUGCAAGUCGAAUGGUAACAGGAAACAGCUUGCUGUUUCGCUGACGAGUGGCGGACGGGUGAGUAAUGUCUGGGAAACUGCCUGAUGGAGGGGGAUAACUACUGGAAACGGUAGCUAAUACCGCAUAACGUCGCAAGACCAAAGAGGGGGACCUUCGGGCCUCUUUCCAUCAGAUGUGCCCAGAUGGGAUUCGCUAGUAGGUGGGGUAACGUCUCACCUAGGCGACGAUCCCUAGCUGGUCUGAGAGGAUGACCAGCCACCCGGGAACUUGAACACGGUCAAGACGCCUACGGGAGGCAGCAGGGGGGAAUAUUGCACAAUGGGCGCAAGCCUGAUGCAGCCAUGCCGCGUGUAUGAAGAAGGCCUUCGGGUUGUAAAGUACUUUCAGCGGGGAGGAAGGGAGUAAAGUUAAUACCUUUGCUCAUUGACGUUACCCGCAGAAGAAGCACCGGCUAACUCCGUG
rnacentral:rRNA from 1 species